CACAGACACUCCUUCCCUUGGUAGACCUUACUUGAUUGCUUGGAGGUAGACAGAACCACAUGGAUGACCAUACCUUUGAGAAGAAGAUAUUAGUGACAUCCUCAUUUUUCCUGCUGAUUCCAAGAAGCAAGAACACCUUCUCAGGACGAUGGGAGGGCCUCAGAUCACCUCUGGAGUCAGGGAAAUGAGACAAAUCCUGUCCGGGAAUAAGUACUGAAUACCUUCAAUAUCUGGAUGUGGAUGGAAAGAGUAAAAUAUAGCAGAGGUACAUCUAAGUUGUGGGAAGUGGGGGCAGAACAUUAGAAAAAAGCCAAUAAUGAAAGUAAGGAUUAAGAGAGAAAUUGAAACACAAAAGCUAGUAGAGGGCAGGUUGUCCUGUCAGG